rnacentral:lncRNA from 1 species
CUUGACAUUUGACCUUGUGUAUAUUAAUUGAAUUUUGAUAGGAAAUGUAAUAGAAAGAGACAUACUACACAUGGAGAAAAUGUUCAGGACGUUUUAAGCCACUAUUUAUUAACAUAGAAUAGAAAAAAUAAUGAGUCAAGGUCAUGUCAAAAGUUCUUAGCCAUCACCCUUAUUUUAUAAAAAAAAGUACCGAGCAACCAUACAUGAUUUCAUUCUGGACUAGAUAAACUAUUACAUAGACCUAACUUAAAAG